UGUAUAUUUAACCAAAGACGCGCGCGUCGCGUUACGAUCAUAUGUGCGUCAUAUCACCCCGCUCGAAUGAGCGCUUGACGAGAUCCGUCUUCGGCAUUUUAAGCAGCGCCAUUCAUAAUCUGUCAGUUCACAGCGAUACAUAUGUAAAGACGAUUCUAUUAUUGCCCCCCGUCUCCCUCUGUCUCCAUCGCCUGUUUACGGUGUCUCACGACAAGCGGUGGCACUUAUGGCAACGAGCCACCGUUGCGCGCAUAACGAACGUGAAUUUAUGCGCUUCGUGCGAGCAUUCUAUCGGCCGCUCGUAGAUCAUCGCCAGUGUCGGCGUAGUCGCGGAAAGUUGACGGACAGCGGAAGGUAAAAAGCGCGAAAAGGGAUAGAAAAGACGGAUGGCCAGUCUUAUGUUACGCCUGGCCGAUCAGCAAAGCUGUUAAUGCGAUGAAUGGAGAAAGGGGACGUGGCGAGUGAAAUUCCGGAGACCGUUCGCGGGCAACGUACACCCGCGUACACGCGGAAUGCAUAAUUUUUCUCUCAUCGCGACAGAGCUUUGCAACCGCGCGAGCGUGCCGUGAUGGCGAUAAGAAAGACGCAAUAAAAGUCGUCGAAGUGAAAUAUCGACAAUUCUGCGACGACACCGAUCGUCGUUGGCCGAAGCGUCGCGAUAUUUUGAGUAUAAUCCACGGUUUCUCCAAUGCGUUAAGAGAACUUCAUUGUUAGUUUCAUCGUGUUUAGAAAUGUUUAGAAACGUCAUGGUCAACUGUUGCACUUUGUAGAAAAUUAUUUGGAAAAUGCUUUGUAGGAAUUUUGCCGAACCGAGACUUUUAGUGCGCUUGUUUACAAAAUAAUAACUUUUGAUGUAAGUAAUAUUGAUCUCCUUUACGGUCGAUCUGUAAAAAUAUCUCUACUGCUUUUUGUAAUAACAUUACUAUGAAUAUAAAAUAAAAAAAAAUACAUUCUACUAUAUAUACUUUAAGUCUCGAUAAAUUCGUGCACUCAUAUUCAUACAUUUAUAAUAUUUAUUACUUUUUUAAAAAUAUGUUAAGUCAAUUCCUAAUAAAAAUUUCAUUUUUUA